rnacentral:rRNA from 1 species
ACGGACGGGGUGACGGCCCACCGUGGCGACGAUGCGUAGGGGUUCUGAGAGGAAGGCCCCCCACACUGGGACUGAGACACGGCCCAGACUCCUACGGGAGGCAGCAG